rnacentral:rRNA from 1 species
GUGGGGGACAACAGUUGGAAACGACUGCUAAUACCGCAUAACGUCUACGGACCAAAGGGGGGAUCUUCGGACUUCCCGCCAUUUGAUUAGCCCAAGUGAGAUUAGCUAGUUGGUAAGGUAAUGGCUUACCAAGGCGACGAUCUCUAGCUGGUUUGAGAGGAUGGUCAGCCACACUGGGACUGAGACACGGCCCAG